UACGAAGGGGGCUAGCGUUGCUCGGAAUCACUGGGCGUAAAGCGCACGUAGGCGGAUUGUUAAGUCAGGGGUGAAAUCCUGGAGCUCAACUCCAGAACUGCCCUUGAUACUGGCGAUCUUGAGUCCGGAAGAGGUGAGUGGAACUCCGAGUGUAGAGGUGAAAUUCGUAGAUAUUCGGAAGAACACCAGUGGCGAAGGCGGCUCACUGGUCCGGUACUGACGCUGAGGUGCGAAAGCGUGGGGAGCAAACAGG
rnacentral:rRNA from 1 species